rnacentral:rRNA from 1 species
AUUGAACGCUGGCGGCAGGCAUAACACAUGCAAGUCGACCGAGUGGCGGAAGGGUGAGUAAUGUCUGGGAAAUGGCCUGCUGGAGGGGGAUAACUAAUGGAAACGGUAGCUAAUACCGCAUACCAGCAGAUGUGCCCAGAUGGGAUUGGCUAGUUGGUGGGGCAACGGCUCACCAAGGCGACGAGCCCUAGCUGGUCUGAGAGGAUGAACAGCCACACUGGAACUGAGCCACGGUCCCGACUCCUACGGUAGGCAGCAGUGGGGAAUAUUGCACAAGGGGCGCAAGCCUGAUGCAGCCAUGCCGCGUGUAUGAAGAAGGCCUUCGGGUUGUAAAGUACUUGCAGCGGGGAGGCGUUACCCGCAGAAGAAGCCCCGGCUAACUCCGUGCCAGCAGCCGCGGUAAUAC